GAUGAACGCUGGCGGCGUGCCUAAUACAUGCAAGUCGAGCGAACGGACGAGAAGCUUGCUUCUCUGAUGUUAGCGGCGGACGGGUGAGUAACACGUGGAUAACCUACCUAUAAGACUGGGAUAACUUCGGGAAACUGGAGCUAAUACCGGAUAAUAUUUUGAACCGCAUGGUUCAAAAGUAAAAGACGGUCUUGCUGUCACUUAUAGAUGGAUCCGCGCUGCAUUAGCUAGUUGGUAAGGUAACGGCUUACCAAGGCAACGAUGCAUAGCCGACCUGAGAGGGUGAUCGGCCACACUGGAACUGAGACACGGUCCAGACUCCUACGGGAGGCAGCAGUAGGGAAUCUUCCGCAAUGGGCGAAAGCCUGACGGAGCAACGCCGCGUGAGUGAUGAAGGUCUUCGGAUCGUAAAACUCUGUUAUUAGGGAAGAACAUAUGUGUAAGUAACUGUGCACAUCUUGACGGUACCUAAUCAGAAAGCCACGGCUAACUACGUG
rnacentral:rRNA from 1 species